AUCGAUUAAAUUAUCAAAAUUGCCGGUUCGAAGAUAAUUCCAUCCUCACUUCUUAUAUGUUUUCAUCGCGGAAAAUGGUUUGCCUAGAAUAUUUAAAAGAUAGUCAAAAAGGCGGUAUCAAAUACUAAAAGCACAGUCAGAUUGCCUACCGUUUUACUAUACCUAAAGAUUACUUUCUUAACUUUUGCUGCCACCGUUCCGAAAAUUGAAUGGAG